CAGUAGCCGCGGUAAUACGGAGGGUGCAAGCGUUAAUCGGAAUUACUGGGCGUAAAGCGCACGCAGGCGGUCUGACAAGUCAGAUGUGAAAUCCCCGGGCUUAACCUGGGAACUGCAUUUGAAACUGUCAGGCUGGAGUCUUGUAGAGGGGGGUGGAAUUCCAGGUGUAGCGGUGAAAUGCGUAGAGAUCUGGAGGAAUACCGGUGGCGAAGGCGGCCCCUGGACAAAGACUGACGCUCAGGUGCGAAAGCGUGGGGAGCAAACAGGAUUAGAUACCCGCGUAGUCCCUGUCUCUUAUACA
rnacentral:rRNA from 1 species